GAUCAUCCUGUCGCGUUCUAAUGCCGAGAUGGUGCGGCACUGUGCGGUAGAGGACUGCGGCAACCUCCUGAUUCGGUGCGGAAAACCUAUUCACCAGUUCCCAAAGGACGAACAACUUCGUGCGCUUUGGAUCCGGCUCGCACGACCGUCCUCCCCGGCGUGGCUUCCAACUACGAGUGAUCGCUUGUGUUCCUAUCACUUUCGUGAUGAGGACUACGUGCGAAGCCCCAGGGUGAUGGAGUCCUUGGGCUUCCCGGUGAGGAACGUACAACUCAAACCAGGAGUUUUGCCCCGUUUAUUUUCAAAGAAGCGGAGAUCUGGCGAGCGCAGCGAACCCCUUGACAAGCGACGCAGAGUGGUACGUUUGGUGCGUUGGUUUCCAUUCUGCGUCCACCUGUGGCCUCCCCCACCUCUCUGAUAUGGACUGACGACGCCCGCACCCAGACAGCAGCCUUGAGAGCAAUGACUGCUGCUAGACAUCCUGUGUUUUCAGCAUCGUC